GGAACUUUAGCUCAGUUGGUUAGAGCCCCCGACUCAUAAUCGGUUGGUCAUAGGUUCGAGUCCUAUAAGUUCCACCA
rnacentral:tRNA from 1 species